rnacentral:rRNA from 1 species
UGGGGAAUAUUGGACAAUGGGGGGAACCCUGAUCCAGCCAUGCCGCGUGUGUAAAGAAGGCCUUAUGGUUGUAAAGCACUUUAAGCGAGGAGGAGGGUACUGGUAUUAAUACUACCAGCUACUGGACGUUACUCGCAGAAUAAGCACCGGCUAACUCUGUGCCAGCAGCCGCGGUAAUACAGAGGGUGCGAGCGUUAAUCGGAUUUACUGGGCGUAAAGCGUGCGUAGGCGGCUAAUUGAGUCGGAUGUGAAAUCCCCGAGCUUAACUUGGGAAUUGCAUUCGAUACUGGUUAGCUAGAGUGUGGGAGAGGAUGGUAGAAUUCCAGGUGUAGCGGUGAAAUGCGUAGAGAUCUGGAGGAAUACCGAUGGCGAAGGCAGCCAUCUGGCCUAACACUGACGCUGAGGUACGAAAGCAUGGGGAGCAAACAGG